UUGCUCAUUUUGGCAGCACAUACAUUAAAAUUGGAACUAUAUAGAGAAGAUUGGCAAAGCCCCUGCACAAGAGUGACAUGCAAAUUUGUGAAGCAUUCCAUAUUUAA
rfam:Canis lupus familiaris chromosome 1, whole genome shotgun sequence.